AUCUUUUUAAGUGUGAAGAAGCUUUAAAGGCACAGUAUUGACAUUUGUGGUGUUUAAGGUCUAGAAAGACAAUUCUUACUCUAAAUAUCUUAUCUUUUUAGCAACAUACAAAAACAAUAAACAGCUGGUGUCGUGGAAGCUAUUAAGUAGCUUUACCACUGGCUGGUUACGUUAACAAGUAGUCGCGUGCAUAGUCUGUGUCGUGGUCGUUAGUAUGGCGAUCAAUAGUCUACGAAGAAAAUGCUCUUCAACAUCUGUUUAAAAUGCAGUUGCAGUAGCAGCAGCAACACAAUAACAACAACAAAAACGAA